CGGCGAGUGAAGCGGCAACAGCUCAAAUUUGAAAGCUGGCCCUUUCAGGGUCCGCGUUGUAAUUUGUAGAGGAUGAUUCGGCGAGGGCUCCCGCCUAAGUCCCCUGGAACGGGGCGUCAUAGAGGGUGAGAAUCCCGUAUGCGGUGGGCUGCCUUAGCCAUGUGAAUCUCCUUCGACGAGUCGAGUUGUUUGGGAAUGCAGCUCUAAAUGGGAGGUAAAUUUCUUCUAAAGCUAAAUACCGGCCAGAGACCGAUAGCGCACAAGUAGAGUGAUCGAAAGAUGAAAAGCACUUUGGAAAGAGAGUUAAAAAGUACGUGAAAUUGUUGAAAGGGAAGCGCUUGCAACCAGACUUGUCCGCAGUUGCUCAGCCGGUCUCCUGACCGGCGUACUCUUCUGCGGCCAGGCCAGCAUCAGUUCGGGCGGUCGGAUAAAGACCUCGGGAAUGUAGCUCCUCUCGGGGAGUGUUAUAGCCCGGGGUGGAAUGCGGCCAGCCUGGACUGAGGAUCUCGCUUCGGCAAGGAUGCUGGCGUAAUGGUUGUAAGCGGCCCGUCUUGAAACACGGACCAAGGAGUCUAACAUCUAUGCGAGUGUUUGGGUGUCAAACCCAUACGCGUAAUGAAAGUGAACGGAGGUGGGAACCCGCAAGGGCGCACCAUCGGCCGAUCCUGAUGUCUUCGGAUGGAUUUGAGCAAGAGCAUAGCUGUUGGGACCCGAAAGAUGGUGAACUAUGCCUGAAUAGGGUGAAGCCAGAGGAAACUCUGGUGGAGSCUCGCAGCGGUUCUGACGUGUAAAUCGAUCGUCAAAUUUGGGUAUAGGGGCGAAAGACUAAUCGAACCAUCUAGUAGCUGGUUCCUG
rnacentral:rRNA from 1 species